CCCCCAGCCUGCAAGAGGGGACGCCAGGAGCUGCCCUGUGGCAACAGGUGGGGGCAAAGGGAGACACGCCAGGCCAGGCAGUGUGUGAGGUAGGGGGAGCUCUGUGACAGGUGAGGAGACAGCAAGGGAGAAGGCACUGGACCCUGCACAUCAAGGAGGGGAUACUGGGUUAGAGCUGACACUGGGUCCCUCUCUUGUCCUAUUCCUGACUGGGAACCACAGCAGUGGGUGGAGGGGUGUCUUUGCAUGGGGGGCCUUGGUGGGGCAGUUACUGUCACGGUGUGGUGGCCACUCCAGCCCUUCCAUGUCUGGCCAUCCCCAGCGGGUGAAGGGGGCUGGGAGUAGAGCCUGUUCCAAGGGGCCCAUGGGUCCAGGAACCAUCUUCCCUCUUGGAUUGCCAGAGGGAGGGUGGGCGGGGUGCAUUGCGGGAGAAGGGGAACCUGCCCCUGGUGUGAUGGGCUGACUCCAGGUGCCACCUCAUGCUGUCCCCUCCCCCAUGACCCCAUCUCUCCCGCUCUUGCCAGCAGCUGCCUCGAGGUUCACAGCAUCGGCUCAGAGGAUGAGGACUUGGAGCUGCCGCUGGAUGGCUUGCUGCCCCACAGCCCCCUCCCUGACUCCACCCGUGCCGAUUCGCCCUUCCAGAGCUUGGUCAGCAGCUCCCAGGGCAGCCCCCAGCUGUGCCAGCGCCUCUUGCCCAAGGCCUGCAAGACCAGCGUGGCGACCCAGUGUGACCCGGAGGAGAUCAUCGUUCUGUCGGACUCGGAUUAGACCCCCUGCCUGCCCAGGGGGGCUGGAGACUCUGGGGGUCAGGGAGGGUGACAGGGUUUGUUUGUGGCUGGUUAUGGGGUGGGGUUAAGGGGGUGGAGCAGAGCCCUCCACAUCUCCUAGGCUGCCCCUCCCUCUUUGUACAAAGAAAUGGUUAAAAAACAAAAAAAAACCCCUAAAAAUAAAAUCUUUUUCUUACUCAGCA